GUUUGGAACAUUGCGGUUUUUAGGCUUUCCUUCAACGAGAGCGGAGAUGCAGCAGGAUCAGCGCAAGAAGGAUACUCCAGAGAUGGACUUCUUCACUGAAUAUGGGGAUGCCAGCAGAUACAAAAUUCAGGAGGUCAUAGGGAAAGGAAGUUAUGGAGUUGUGUGCUCCGCUAUAGACAUUCAAACUGGAGAAAAGGUGGCUAUCAAGAAGAUACAUGAUAUUUUUGAGCACAUCUCAGAUGCUGCCCGUAUUCUUCGUGAGAUCAAGCUUCUUAGACUUCUUAGACAUCCUGACAUUGUAGAAAUAAAGCACAUCAUGCUACCCCCAUCAAAGAGGGAUUUUAAAGAUAUUUAUGUUGUUUUUGAGCUUAUGGAGUCAGAUCUUCAUCAAGUUAUCAAAGCCAAUGAUGACUUGACCAAAGAGCAUUACCAAUUUUUUCUUUAUCAGCUCUUACGCGCAUUAAAGUAUAUCCACACAGCUAAUGUUUAUCAUCGAGAUUUAAAGCCAAAGAAUAUAUUAGCAAAUGCCAACUGCAAGCUCAAAAUUUGUGAUUUCGGAUUAGCAAGAGUGGCAUUCAGUGAUACCCCAUCAACAGUGUUUUGGACGGAUUAUGUUGCAACAAGGUGGUAUCGAGCGCCUGAGCUAUGCGGUUCUUUCUUCUCCAAGUACACACCAGCCAUAGACAUUUGGAGCAUUGGUUGCAUUUUUGCUGAGGUAUUAACUGGGAAGCCUUUAUUUCCUGGAAAAAAUGUGGUACAUCAAUUGGACUUGAUGACUGAUCUUCUUGGCACACCUUCCAUAGAUUCUAUAUCUCGGGUUCGAAAUGAUAAAGCGAGAAGGUUUUUGAGUAGUAUGAGGAAAAAGCAACCGAUUCCAUUCUUGCAAAAGUUUCCAGAUGCGGAUCCUUUGGCCCUCAAACUUUUGCGAAGACUACUAGCAUUUGACCCAAAGGAUCGCCCUUCAGCUGAAGAGGCAUUGGCAGAUCCUUAUUUUAAUGGUUUGGCCAAAGUGGAGAGGGAGCCCCCUUGCCAACCAAUCACAAAAAUGGAGUUUGAAUUUGAGCGGCGAAGGGUGACAAAAGAGGACAUUAGAGAACUUAUUUUUCGUGAAAUAUUGGAAUAUCACCCUCAACUUCUUAAGGACUAUAUAAAUGGCACAGAGAGAACAAGUUUCAUGUAUCCUAGUGCGGUUGAUCAAUUCAAAAGACAGUUUGCUCACCUGGAGGAGAACGGUGGAACAAAUUCUCCCACGGUUCCUUUAGAGAGGAAACACAUUUCUCUUCCUAGGAAGCUCUGAUCGCGACUGCAUCACAAGGUUUGGUCGCAUCGUCACCUUCCCAACAAGUUUUGAUCGUGACUGUCUCGCAGGGUUUAGUCACGAAGGUGUGGAACCUAGCCGUCUCACGUCUUCGCCUUCCCAACAAGCUCUAAUCACAACUGUAUCGCAGUUGUAUGUUGCGUUCUCGAAGUUGCUUUACUGACUGUAUCGCGAGGGAUUCAGGCAGGAAAGGGCUUCUGCAGUUUGCUGCAAGAGGAAGGAGUGGAGCGACACUAUGAAAGGACAAGGGGAGGCGACAGAGGGGAACAAAUAGGGAGAGAUGCGUGACUUCUGUGUACUGGAUGUGCAACAGAAGGAGAAAAAGAAGGGUUUAUAUGGAGGAUCUUGGCCUUGAUGGUAAAGUAGAUCAAGAUCAGGUCAAGAAGAGGAAGUCAUGUGUGAUCUAGACUUGGAUCCUUGUUUAGGAGGAGAUGUUGCGGGAGGUAAAGGAUUGGAGCAUCUGAGAAAGAUAAAUUCUGAGAUUCUGAAUGUAUUAAUCAGACUCAUACAGGGAGCUAGCAUCUCAAUGGGAGCCAUUAUCUUGACAUGUUCUCCGAUGCAGGUGGAAUUAGAUCUCCCUCAUGUAGAUCUGAAGCUUUAUGGACCGGCCAUGUAUAUGAGUUGGUCGUGUUGAAUUGAGGUUGUUCUAGUCGGAAAGAGUCUUUAGGGUUAUCUGAUAGAAGUCAAGGCCAAGACAGAGGGUGACAGUGUUGAGGGGAUGAGAGGACCAGACACAUCUUUUGAUACAUCUGAUUUCUCAACUCGAUGGUUUCAUCAAUUGCCACAUUAGUAGAUGACAUUCAAAAGGUAAGGGAGGGACAUUUGAGCAAAGCUAAAGAGGAUUUAUGUUGAGAUGGAGAACCACAUGAGGGUGUUUCAGAUUCAAUGUGAGAUAAAAGCAGCGGUGCAUGGUGAUAGAUCGAUUCAGGAAUGCGUCAUAGAUUUGGAGUAGUUGUUGGUGGAUCUUGAUCAUUUCUCACCGGUGACGAGUUGUGGCAAUCUGAAUUGCAAUAAAGGGGGAUUUUUACACAGAUGAGAAAUAUGUAAUUUUUGGCUCAUCUGAACCCAAUCAUUGAUCAAAGGAGAUCAAUCCUUCUGGCUUAGGUGAUUAUCCCUUCACUAGAUGAGGUCCUUGUUGCAAUAUUACAAGAGGAGAGUCGCAUGAAGCUAUACUCUGAGCCAAGCGGACUUCCGGUCGCGCGAUCAGCAUUGGCUGCCUCGAGCUCAGGUAUAUGAUAGAUGUCAAGGAAGAGACUCGCAAUUGCUAACAUCUGAGUAAGACCUGUCUAAGGCCACCUAAGAAAAGAGAGGCAAGAACAUGGACAUGGUGGAGGUCGUAGUCAUAGUCAUGGUGGUUGAAAAGGUGGAAAGAGGGGCUACCGGGCAAUCUGAUGAUAGCAGAGGAGGGAGAGACUGGUGUGAUUUUCACCAAUGAAGAUCAUCAAUGUCUGCAGUUGUUGAAGUGGAAGCAGAAAGCAACAAGAGAUGGGGCUAAGGAUGUUUCCAACCAGUUGUCAUCAAAUGAUAACAUUGUCGCUUAUGCUCACUCUGACAAAGGUACUGCUAUAGAGUUUUCUUCUUAUACUCCCCCAACAGUACGAGAGAGCAUCCAGACUAUUGAUGGUACAACAUGGCCUGUAGUUGGUAAGAGUACAAUGAGGGCUGAUCUAUCAAGAUAAAAUGACGGGUCAGACACUUGGAACUAGAAUAUUGCAUAGUGGACUCUGAUACCUAGAUCGAGAGGGGAUGGACUCAGCUUUGACAUCCAUGAUAGAGAGUGAUGGAGUAGGAGAACCUGAGAGGAGUGUAGAGGAUGUGUUGUUGCUACAUUAUAGACGCAUGAUACAUUCUUCUUUCAAUUUAUUGAGCUGGUUGUAUUCUUUUUUGUAUGAAAAGGUAAAUAAAGAAAAACUUGUUUAUGAUGUUUAUGAAUUUGACAUGCUUACUAGGAGCUC